UCGUCUCUCUCUCCCUCUUUGGAGAAACCGAUCUGCUCCAUCUUCUCUCUCUCUCUCUCUCACACACACACACACACACACACAACCAACAAUACCUCUCCUUCUUCGUCUUUCGAAUCCCACCAACUCCAAGCCGCCGAUGACUUCCACCAGUCCACACGCUCUUUUCCCUCCAUCACUCUGUCAAUCGUCUCUCUCCGCCAUACCCACCACCACUCCCCUCUCUAUUUUGAUUUCGGGUUCUCUCUCUCAUUCGUCCAGGGCAUGAAGUACUUGGAUGAAAAUGAGUGAGUCUGAAAGUGCUUUUGGAGGUUUUAAGAUACCAUACCCACAUCCAAAAUAUGCUCUUUCAAACUCAACUGAGACGACAUGAAACGACUUUAAGCAAUCAAUCUCGAACCUAUCUUUGGCCUUUGUUUUGUCUGAUUGGAAAUGGUCCUCUUUGAUUCUGUUAAGAGACUCAAUCUUUGUUGGUCAUUACGAUAAUUUGUUUGGCAUUUGAUUUUUGGUUAUUUUUGUUUGUUUGGCAUUGAAAUAUGACUAACCUGUAAUGUGGCUAUUUUUCUUCGUAACUUUGGUAUUGUAACCAUCUCUGUAUUUAUUUUCUAUAUCACCGAGUAUAUGUGAAGUCACCAUCUCAUGCUUAUCUAAAAGAAGUCACCUGUUAUAGGAGUUGCCACAUUGUCUCGCAUUAGCAUGGCAGACGAAUUUGGUGAUCUUGAACUAUUGUAAUUUGGAUAGCAUGAGAGACUCAAUAGAGACAGCCGGACAUUUGUUUAUGUUAGCGACAAAGAGUAGUUUUUUCUUCUUCUUUUUUGCCUUCAUCGGAGUAGCAAGAACCACCGAGGUCAAAGGUAACCACUCUCCCACCUUCACUGCUAAACAAAUGAUUUCAUAUGGAUUUUGUUUUUCAUUAUCGCUUUCCAUUUGCAUGGAUUUUUUUUGGUAACUCAAGGGAGAGUCAUGUUGGUUGGACAAGGUAUAUCAGUUGAGGGACAUGGUAAUUGUCAUAGAUGAGUCUGAUUCCUGAACGUAGGUUGACAAAUCUUCAACAUCACCUUACUCCCACUGAACUGUUGCUGAUGCAUCUCAUUGGAAAUGCUUCUGGUGCCGUUCAAUAUGAUGGAUAAACAAGGAAAUGACUCUGGUCACCGGGGGAGGAUAUAGUCAGUGUCAGUGUGCCGCAACUGGCUUCUCUCUUUUGGCUGUCAAUUGCAUGCAGUUUGACCGUUCACCUUUUUUUAUUUCUUUUCAUUCCGUUCUCAGAUUAGAUUAGAGACUAUGAGAACUAUUAGUAAUACUGUUUAAUAGGCAGCUGUACAAAAC